GCACUUGUUAACUCACCUGUACUUUCUGCUCCUGAUCCAACUAAAUGUUUACUCGUCCAUACAGACGUUUCUAUGUUUGGAUUGGGAGCAGUACUGAGCCAAGUUGGAGCAGAUGGCGGCGAACACCCAGUAGCUUACCUAAGCCGAAAACUUUUACCCAGAGAAGUAAGCUACGCCACCAUUGAAAAGGAGUGCCUGGCUGUGGUGUGGGCCAUC